rnacentral:rRNA from 1 species
GCCAGCAGCCAUACUCCCUACAAGCUAAGCAGGUUGGGCCUGGCUGAUACUUCGAUGGGAGACCAACUAGGAAAGCUGGUUUGCUGCUGGAA